rnacentral:rRNA from 1 species
GGACCUGAUGCAGCCAUGCCGCGUGUGUGAAGAAGGCCUUCGGGUUGUAAAGCACUUUCAGUUGUGAGGAAAAGUUAGUAGUUAAUACCUGCUAGCCGUGACGUUAACAACAGAAGAAGCACCGGCUAACUCCGUGCCAGCAGCCGCGGUAAUACGGAGGGUGCGAGCGUUAAUCGGAAUUACUGGGCGUAAAGCGCACGCAGGCGGUUUGUUAAGCUAGAUGUGAAAGCCCCGGGCUCAACCUGGGAUGGUCAUUUAGAACUGGCAGACUAGAGUCUUGGAGAGGGGAGUGGAAUUCCAGGUGUAGCGGUGAAAUGCGUAGAUAUCUGGAGGAACAUCAGUGGCGAAGGCGACUCCCUGGCCAAAGACUGACGCUCAUGUGCGAAAGUGUGGGUAGCGAACAGGAUUAGAUACCCUGGUAGUCCACACCGUAAACGCUGUCUACUAGCUGUUUGUGACUUUAAGUCGUGAGUAGCGAAGCUAACGCGCUAAGUAGACCGCCUGGGGAGUACGGCCGCAAGGUUAAAACUCAAA